rnacentral:pre_miRNA from 1 species
GCAAUCCUGGACGCUUCCUCCGGAUGCUGGUUUCACAUGGUGGUUUAGAUGUGUUCUACGAUAGUGUUCUACCAGUGUUCUAGCACCAUUUGAAAUCAGUGUUCCUGGGGUAAGGGAAUUGC